rnacentral:rRNA from 1 species
AUUUAACGCUGGCGGCAGGCCUAACACAUGCAAGUCGCGCGAGCGGCGGACGGGUGAGUGAUGUAUGGGGACUGCCCGAUAGAGGGGGAUAAAUACUGGAAACGGUGGCUAAUACCGCAUACUAUCGGAUAACCCAUAUGGGAUUAGCUAGUAGGUGGGGUAAAGGCUCACCUAGGCGACGAUCUCUAGCUGGUCGUAGAGGAUGAUCAGCCACAAUGGGACUGAGAAACGGCCCAGACUCCGACGGAGGCAGCAGUGGGGAAUAUUGCACAAUGGGCGCAAGCCGGAUGCAGCCAUGCCGCGUGUAUGAAGAAGGGCUUAGGGUCGUAAAGUACUUACAGCGGGGAGGCGUUACCCGCAGAAGAAGCACCGGCUAACGCCGUGCCAGCAGCCGCGGUAAUUC